rnacentral:rRNA from 1 species
GACGUAGGGCGCGAGCGUUGUCCGGAUUUAUUGGGCGUAAAGAGCUCGUAGGCGGCUUGUCGCGUCGAAUGUGAAAACUCGGGGCUCAACCCCGCGCUUGCAUUCGAUACGGGCAGGCUCGAGUUCGGUAGGGGAGACUGGAAUUCCUGGUGUAGCGGUGAAAUGCGCAGAUAUCAGGAGGAACACCGGUGGCGAAGGCGGGUCUCUGGGCCGAUACUGACGCUGAGGAGCGAAAAGCGUGGGGAGCGAACAGG